GACGUGGUGGCCUAAUGGUUAGCGCGUUGGACUCCGGAUCGAGCUGUCUGGGUUCAAGCCCUGGCUGGGCGUCA